UGUCCAGUCCUUCACUCUAGAUUUUGAGGCUGCGAUCUGACGUUCCAUACAAGAGACUUUUCCAGAGGCAGACGUAAAGGGUUGUUCUUUUCACUGGAGUCAAGCAGUGAUGAGAAAAGUUGCCAACCCCGGACUUCGUGCAACUUACCAUCAGCGCAAGACAAUCCACCAUUUCAUCCGGAAGCUACUUUGACUGCCUUAUCUCCCACCAACUCACAUCAUUCAAGCCUUCGACAAUCUCAGCGCAGCUGCCAACACCCAACCACUCAGGAAGCUUAUGAUAUAUUUGUCCAAAACCUGGAUGCACAGCAGUAUUUGAAACAUCAGGCAGUGGUCCGUCUUCAGACAACCAGUGCGAACCAACAAUGACACCGAAGGUUGGCAUCGACCUUUCGUUGGAAAAGCUGGAGGGAACCAAAUUCACUUUUAUCGCUUGGUCCCAGCAUUAAAGAAACAAGGCUCCAGAGUCCGUCACCAUUACGAUGAGACUGGUAGAGGAGCAACAACUUUGUCGCUACCAACGAGAGACCUACCACCGUGCCCAAGGACGACUCAACACUUUGUGGGAUGACUAUGAAGCCAAGAAAAUAAAAACAUCGGCAUUUCUAUCAACUGCCGCAGAUUUUUUCGCCAGGCCUAUUCCUGUCGACGACGAAAUAUUAUGAUAUUUGCUUAUUAUAGUGAACAUUUUUAAAGUGAUAAAGUAGUUCACGGCUGUUUCCUUAAUUGCAUGUCACUUUGUUUUGUAGAAUUGAAUGAAUCUAUGUGCUUUAAUAUAGUAUUAUAUAAGAACCUAUAAAA